AAAAAUCCCUCUCCAGCUCUUGUGAUCCAACCCCCCUCCUCGCUAUAUCCAUUAGAAUAACUUUAUUCUGUAAAAAAGGGAUGUUUUGUUUUGUUAUCUGAAAGUGUUACAUCUGGUUGUUUAACCUAGAGUGCUUUUUAAACAUGGCUUUUAAACUCUUGGUUGGGGUGACGAGGGGAGGGGGGGAGGAAGCCCACAUGAAAUAAAACAAUGUCCAUUCAUCAGACCGAAAGUCCAUAGUCAAAAGUUGCCGAGAAAUUUGCAAGACUUAAAUUGCCAUAAAAAUUACAUCUAAAUGCCUCGCGUGCAAACAAUUCACUCUGAGACAAUGAAAUGUGCAAGUGGUGGCUUCUAUUGAGUUAGAAACAGAAAAUCAGAAACACGCACCAUUUCUUCAGGGUAAAAAAAAAUAAUCAAAUAAUCCCUGAGAUAAGGUGCCAUCUACACAGUCCUGGUGGAAUCCUGCGUUCGUUCGGAAAAUGAUUCAACCCGAGCGCCCACACGUAUUAAAGAAAUCGAGUGUCUCAGCAGUGAGAAAAGGAAGCUGGGAAGAAGCUGCAGUGAAAUUGGAACACUCUUUUGAAGUAUCAAGUUCUUUAAAGACCUCACCGAGUUUCUACAGUAAAUUAGCAGCUGCAAGUAGCUCACAAUAGUACGAUGUUUAUGGAAGAACAACAAAGAUGACAAGCUCUCCUGCAGAGCUUACUGUGGCACUAUGGAAUAAGACCAUUCAGCAUCUGACCAAUGGAUGGAAUACAUACCUGUCGCUAAAGGAAAACCAACACUCCAAAUGUAAACUAUUUGUCUUUUUCUAUUUCUUUAAUUCUUCAACAAGCAAUUAUUGAGUCAGGCCCUAACUGGAAAUGACAUUAGUUCAUGUGCGGUAUGGUGAUUAAUGCUUAGGUAUUAAAAAAAUAAUGAUUUACACACCCUAGUGCAGACACAAUGUAUACUAACUCCACUGUGACAAACGGUAAAUAUUCCAUCCUUUAAUUACACAUUGAGCCAAUGAGAAGUGUUAAUAACUGAUUCUGACCCUCAUCGAAUUACAAUAAGGCUUCUUAUACCUCUGUUCAUCAAGUGUAACUUCAUUAUGAGAUUAUCUUUCAUGAAAAGAUAAAAAACAUAAAGAAAUUCAGCUUGAGGUGAUCAGGCAAUGCGGAAUGCAACAGAGUAAAUUUAUUUGGAGCGAUGUGAGCAUUUUGUGGGAUAGAUACAGAACAUAGCUGCAUGGCACAAGGAGUAUUACAAUGCCUAGCAGGUGAAACACUGCAUUGGUGCACACAACUGUGACCUUUAAAUUGAUGCCAUGAUGUAUAGUACCAAUUAAGGGUGGAUUUGAUCUCAGAACCUCACAGUUAAAUCCAGUCAACUAUGUCACAAAAGCCAUUGUUUUCAUCUGCAGAAUUCCGUGUUUUUUUUAGUUUAAGUGUGAAAUGUUAAUUUACUGUCUACAAAUACAGCCUAGUUUGGCUGCCAGUUUCUGGAAUUUAUACAGCUCAUUGGUAGCAGUUACAGUUGACUUAUCAUUUCUUAGCUUAGGAACUACUAUUGCACAAUUUGAAUAAAUAUUCUGGAAUAAAUCGC